rnacentral:pre_miRNA from 1 species
CGAGAUCAAAGAGAGCUUUCUUCGGUCCACACACGGGUGGAUUUAGGGUUCAAUUGGCUGCCGACUCAUUCAUCCAAAUACUGAGUUUUAUUCAUGGCGGAUGUCAAAGUUCAAUGGGGCAAAUUAUUAUUGAUUGCUCAGUAAAUGAGUGAUUGAUGCGGGAGACUUGUUGGAUCUUAAUCUUCCUGUCCUUGGACUGAAGGGAGCUCCCUUUUACAUCAAG